AUUGAACGCUGGCGGCAGGCCUAACACAUGCAAGUCGAGCGAGCGGCGGACGGGUGAGUAAUGUAUGGGGACUGCCCGUUAGAGGGGGAUAACUACUGGAAACGGUAGCUAAUACCGCAUACUAUUGGAUAACCCAUAUGGGAUUAGCUAGUAGGUGGGGUAAUGGCUCACCUCGGCGACGAUCCCUCGCUGGUCUGAGAGGAGGACCAGCCACACUGGGACUUAGACACGGCCCAGACUCUUACGGAGGCAGCAGUGGGGAAUAUUGCACAAUGGGCGCAAGCCUGAUGCAGCCAUGCCGCGUGUAUGAAGAAGGCCUUAGGGUUGUAAAGUACUUUCAGUCUGGAGGCGUUACCGACAGAAGAAGCACCGGCUAACUCCGUGCCAGCCGCCGCGGUAAUUC
rnacentral:rRNA from 1 species